rnacentral:rRNA from 1 species
GAUGAACGCUGGCGGCGUGCCUAAUACAUGCAAGUCGAGCGAACAGACGAGUAGCUUGCUCCUCUGACGUUAGCGGCGGACGGGUGAGUAACACGUGGAUAACCUACCUAUAAGACUGGGAUAACUUCGGGAAACCGGAGCUAAUACCGGAUAAUAUAUUGAACCGCAUGGUUCAAUAGUGAAAGACGGUUUUGCUGUCACUUAUAGAUGGAUCCGCGCCGCAUUAGCUAGUUGGUAAGGUAACGGCUUACCAAGGCAACGAUGCGUAGCCGACCUGAGAGGGUGAUCGGCCACACUGGAACUGAGACACGGUCCAGACUCCUACGGGAGGCAGAAGUAGGGAAUCUUCCGCAAUGGGCGAAAGCCUGACAGAGCAAAGCCGCGUGAGUGAUGAAGGUCUUCGGAUAGUAAAACUCUGUUAUUAGGGAAGAACAAAUGUGUAAGUAACUAUGCACGUCUUGACGGUACCUAAUCAGAAAGCCACGGCUAACUACGUG